GACGUAGGGCGCGAGCGUUGUCCGGAUUUAUUGGGCGUAAAGAGCUCGUAGGCGGCUUGUCGCGUCGACUGUGAAAACUCGGGGCUCAACUCCGAGCUUGCAGUCGAUACGGGCAGGCUAGAGUUCGGCAGGGGAGACUGGAAUUCCUGGUGUAGCGGUGAAAUGCGCAGAUAUCAGGAGGAACACCGGUGGCGAAGGCGGGUCUCUGGGCCGAUACUGACACUGAGGAGCGAAAGCGUGGGGAGCGAACAGG
rnacentral:rRNA from 1 species